GCUUUGCUGGAGGCCGUGCCUCGGUUGUGUAAAAGUGCUUAUAGUGCAGGUAGGUCGUGUAACUACUGCCCUGUGAGCACUUCCAACAUGACCACGGCAAUGGAUGAUGUGGGGCUU
rnacentral:pre_miRNA from 15 species